UUUGAACGCUGGCGGCAGGCUUAACACAUGCAAGUCGAGCGGGGGAAGGUAGCUUGCUACCGGACCUAGCGGCGGACGGGUGAGUAAUGCUUAGGAAUCUGCCUAUUAGUGGGGGACAACAUCUCGAAAGGGAUGCUAAUACCGCAUACGUCCUACGGGAGAAAGCAGGGGAUCUUCGGACCUUGCGCUAAUAGAUGAGCCUAAGUCGGAUUAGCUCGUUGGUGGGGUAAAGGCCUACCAAGGCGACGAUCUGUAGCGGGUCUGAGAGGAUGAUCCGCCACACUGGGACUGAGACACGGCCCAGACUCCUACGGGAGGCAGCAGUGGGGAAUAUUGGACAAUGGGGGGAACCCUGAUCCAGCCAUGCCGCGUGUGUGAAGAAGGCCUUAUGGUUGUGAAGCACUUUAAGCGAGGAGGAGGCUACUUUAGUUAAUACCUAGAGAUAGUGGACGCUACUCGCAGAAUAAGCACCGGCUAACUCUGUGCCAGCCGCCGCAGUAA
rnacentral:rRNA from 1 species